ACGUAGGGUGCGAGCGUUAAUCGGAAUUACUGGGCGUAAAGGGUGCGCAGGCGGCCCUGCAAGUCAGGCGUGAAAUCCCCGGGCUCAACUUGGGAAUGGCGCUUGAAACUACGGGGCUGGAGUGUGGCAGAGGGAGGUGGAAUUCCACGUGUAGCGGUGAAAUGCGUAGAUAUGUGGAGGAACACCGAUGGCGAAGGCAGCCUCCUGGGCCAACACUGACGCUCAUGCACGAAAGCGUGGGGAGCAAACAGGAUUAGAUACCCUGGUAGUCCACGCCCUAAACGAUGACGACUAGUUGUUGGGAGAGUUAAAUCUCUUAGUAACGCAGCUAACGCGAGAAGUCGUCCGCCUGGGGAGUACGGUCGCAAGAUUA
rnacentral:rRNA from 1 species